rnacentral:misc_RNA from 1 species
GACAUGCCAAAAGAUUGUUGGUUGUAGCCAGCAGGCUUCCUCAUCAGAAACUCCACCAGUACAAGAAAGCUUUGUGAACAUAGCCCCUCUAGAACCUGAAGGUUUGAUACGCACUUAUAGAGGAGUUAGCUAAGCAUAUUUAUUUUGUUCUUCAAUGUUAUAAUGUUUUAGCUUAAGUUGAGCCUGCAAUGUGAAGGAUGGCACUGAAAGGCCUUUGUUAUUGUAGGUUAACAGCUACCACUGCAAGAAUUGUAGCAUAGAUGUAAAUUUGUACAAAAGUUUGAAAAGUAACUUAUUUCAAUUUUUU